rnacentral:rRNA from 1 species
AGCUGUUCAUAACCGUAACCCCCGUUUAACCUUCACCACUUCUGCCCACUACCGUCUAUAUACCGCCGUCGUCAGCUCACCCUGUGAGGGAACAAGAGUAAGCAAAAAGAAUUAACUUCCAAACGUCAGGUCGAGGUGUAGCAAAUGAAGUGGGAAGAAAUGGGCUACAUUUUUUAUUAAAAAUACACGAAUGGUAUUCUGAAAAUAUACCUAAAGGUGGAUUUAGCAGUAAGAGAAGGUCAGAGUACUUCUCUGAAAUUGGCUCUGGGAUGCGCACACACCGCCCGUCACCCUC